CGGGUGAGUAACGCGUGAGUAACCUGCCUUACACAAGGGGAUAGCCUCUGGAAACGGAGAAUAAUACCCUAUGAAACUAUCUUAUCGCAUGAAAAGAUAGUCAAAGUGUUUUAGCGGUGUAAGAUGGACUUGCGUCUGAUUAGCUAGUUGGUGAGAUAACAGCCCACCAAGGCAACGAUCAGUAGCCGGCUUGAGAGAGUGUACGGCCACAUUGGGACUGAGACACGGCCCAG
rnacentral:rRNA from 1 species